AACGAACGCUGGCGGCAGGCCUAACACAUGCAAGUCGAGCGGACCCUUCGGGGUUAGCGGCGGAUGGGGGAGUAACGCGUGGGGAUAUGCCCUUGUCUAUGGCAUAGUCCUGGGAAACUGGUGGUAAUACCGUAUACGCCCUUUGGGGGAAAGAUUUAUCGGGGAAGGAUGAGCCCGCGUUGGAUUAGGUUGUUGGUGGGCUAAUGGCCUACCAGGCCGAGGAUCCAUAACUGGGUUGAGAGGAUGAUUAGCCACACUGGGAGUGAGACACGGCCCAGAAUCUUACGCGAGGGAGCAGUGCCUGAUCUUAGAAAACGGGGGCAGCCAUGAAGUUGCCAUGCCGCGAGAGCGCUGAAGGCCGGAGGGUUGUAAAGCUCUUUCAGCUGGGAAGAUAUUGACGGUACCAGCAGAAGAAGCCCCGGCUAACUCCGUG
rnacentral:rRNA from 1 species